AACGAACGCUGGCGGCAGGCUUAACACAUGCAAGUCGAGCGCCCCGCAAGGGGAGCGGCAGACGGGUGAGUAACGCGUGGGAACGUACCCUUUGCUACGGAAUAGCUCCGGGAAACUGGAAUUAAUACCGUAUGUGCCCUACGGGGGAAAGAUUUAUCGGCAAAGGAUCGGCCCGCGUUGGAUUAGCUAGUUGGUGGGGUAAUGGCCUACCAAGGCGACGAUCCAUAGCUGGUCUGAGAGGAUGAUCAGCCACAUUGGGACUGAGACACGGCCCAAACUCCUACGGGAGGCGGCAGUGGGGAAUAUUGGACACUGGGCGCAAGCCUGAUCCAGCCAUGCCGCGUGAGUGAUGAAGGCCUUAGGGUUGUAAAGCUCUUUCACCGGAGAAGAUAAUGACGGUAUCCGGAGAAGAAGCCCCGGCUAACUUCGUGCCAGCAGCCGCCGUAAUAC
rnacentral:rRNA from 1 species